ACAACCAGGAUGUUGGCUUAGAAGCAGCCACUCAUUAAAAGAGUGCGUAAUAGCUCACUGGUCGAGUGAUUCUGCGCCGAAAAUUUAACGGGGCUAAACUAUACACCGAAGCUUAGGAUACCGCAAGGUAUGGUAGGAGAGCGUUCUGUACGGAGUGAAGUCGUAGCGAAAGCGGCGGUGGACUGUACAGAAGUGAGAAUGCCGGAAUAAGUAGCGAGAAUUAAGUGAGAAUCUUAAUGGCCGAAAGUCUAAGGUUUUUGGAGGAAGGUUCGUCCGCUCCAAGUAAGUCGGGAGCUAAGGUCAGGCCGAAAGGCGUAGCCGAUGCACAAACGGUUGAUAUUCCGUUACCGUCUACAAUUUAAACAAAGGGACACAUACAAAGCGUUUAACCCGGGCGAUGGUUGACCCGGGCGCAAGGGACUGAAAUAAGAGUAGGGAAGUAAAUGUGGCGUAUGGCGAGAAAAGCUUUGUGUAUAGAAGUAGACGCCCGUACCGCAAACCGACACAGGUGGACAGGAAGAGAAUUCUAAGGCCAGCGGGAGAAGGGUAGUUAAGGAACUCGGCAAAUUGACUCCGUAACUUCGGAAUAAGGAGUGCUCGAAAGAGCCGCAGAGAAUAGGCCCAGGCGACUGUUUAGCAAAAACACAGGUCUCUGCCAAAUCGAAAGAUGAAGUAUAGGGGCUGACACCUGCCCGGUGCCGGAAGGUUAAGAGGAGGAGUGCAAGCUCCGAAUUGAAGCCCCGGUAAACGGCGGCCGUAACUAUAACGGUCCUAAGGUAGCGAAAUUCCUUGUCGGGUAAGUUCCGACCCGCACGAAUGGUGUAACGAUCUGGGCACUGUCUCAACUACCCACCCGGCGAAAUUGUAGUACCGGUGAAGAUGCCGGUUACCUGCGGCAAGACGGAAAGACCCCAUGGAGCUUUACUGUAGCCUGAUAUUGGGUUUCGGAAAUCUAUGUACAGGAUAGGCGGGAGACUGGGAAGUAUGAGCGUCAGCUUAUACGGAGUCGUUGUUGGGAUACCGCCCUUAGGUUUCUGGAAUUCUAACCUGCGACCGUGAAUCCGGUCGGGGGACAUUGUCAGGUGGGCAGUUUGACUGGGGCGGUCGCCUCCGAAAAGGUAACGGAGGCGCUCAAAGGUUGGCUCAGCACGGACGGAAACCGUGCCUCUGAGUGUAAACGCAAAAGCCAGCCUAACUGCGAGGAUGACGGUCCGAGCAGUAACGAAAGUUGGAGUUAGUGAUCCGGCGGUAUGUGAAUGGAAAUGCCGUCGCUCAACGGAUAAAAGCUACCCUGGGGAUAACAGGCUGAUCUCCCCCAAGAGUCCACAUCGACGGGGAGGUUUGGCACCUCGAUGUCGGCUCAUCACAUCCUGGGGCUGUAUUCGGUCCCAAGGGUUCGGCUGUUCGCCGAUUAAAGUGGUACGCGAGCUGGGUUCAGAACGUCGCGAGACAGUUCGGUCCCUAUCUGUCGUGGGCGCAGGAUAUUUGAGGAGCUCUGUCCUUAGUACGAGAGGACCGGGAUGGACGUACCUCUGGUGCACCAGUUGUCAUGCCAAUGGCACGGCUGGGCAGCUACGUACGGAACGGAUAAACGCUGAAAGCAUCUAAGCGUGAAGCCGACUCCAAGAUUAGAUAUCCCAUUGCAUAAGCAAGUAAGACCCCUUGAGGACUACGAGGUUGAUAGGCUGCGUGUGUAAGUGUCGUGAGGCAUUUAGCUUGGCAGUACUAAUAGGUCGAGGGCUUGACCAC
rnacentral:rRNA from 1 species